CUUAUUAUUUUCUCCAAUUCUUCUGCAAAAUCUCCAUCUCCAAUCUGAUCGUCUUCCAUCUCCAAUCCGACCAUCUUCCGGCCUCGUCACCAUUCGCCUCUACUCCUGGCCGUCUGUUCACUCUGGUGUGGCCAUCUAUUCGCUCCGAUGUGUCCAUCGUUUUCAUCUUCUCCAGUGCUGCCAUUCGUGCCCGCCAUCACCUCCUCUGCCGGUAAGCUUCUAUUCCUUCUCUCUUUGUCUUUCUCUCUUUGUGAAUAUUGUGUAUUUCCCUUUCAUAAACAUUCCAACAAUCCAAUGUCUUUAUACAUGAGUUUCAACUACCCCUCUUCUUCUUACCCAAGUCAGAAGAAGAAAAGUGAAGGAGGGGCGAGUUUUUUUUUUUGUUUUUUUUCAUGGUGGAAGUUUGAAUUUUGAAAGUGGGUGUUCAAAUGUCGCUUCAUUAUCCUAAGUACACGAAGAGGGAUUAUGAGAAAAUGGAGGAAGGUAAGUUGAAUUUGCUUCUAAAACAAUAUGGACUCUGUUUUGAUGGUACCCUUAAGGGAAACGAGCAUUUGCUAUUGGGAUGUUCUUAUGGCCUUAACAACUUUGAAUUUACCCACCAUGUGUUUGAUGAAAUUCCUAAAAAAAAAAACUAUUAAAUUUUUAUGAACUCCAACUCUGCCCUUGGUCUUGAUUGUCACAUCUUAUGUUUCUAUGGAUGUUUCUUAGUGUGCUGAGAAUGGUUUUUCAGGAUUCAAUAUUUAACAAAAACGUCUACAUGCUUGCAAGGUUUGAUUUUCUCUAUUUUUCUUUGAAUUGGUGCUUACCUAGUGAUUUUAAGAUAUGAUUUGGAGUAGUGUAAAUGACUGAUAAUUUGUGGGGAUUUUCACUUAAUACAUUUAGGAAUUUCGUUAGGUUUUAUCUUGUUGUACUGUAGACAGAGGAAGAACAUAAGUUUUCCUUGUUGGGAUUACAACAAGAUUUCUUGAUUGAUAGGAUUUUGGAAUCAUGCAGAAAAGUUGAAGUAUUCUCUUAUUUAUUUCUUGAAAUCUUCUAAAAAAGAACAUCAUCAAUCAAUUCUAUCUUGAAACUUAAACAAGAUUUUUUUUUUGGUGAGAUUAUGAGAAAAUAUGAUAGUAGUUUGUGCUUGUAAGGUGUUUGAUGAUAUGUGUCUGAAGCUUUAAAAGUUUUUUUCUUUUUCUUUUGCAUUGUGCGAGUGUGUUCUAUGAUUUGAUUGUUACACACACUGAAGCCUAUUUUUAACUUAGUAUAUUAGACUUGUUGUAAUGAAGUUUAGUUUGGCAAUUGGCAAUUCACCAUUAGAAAAUUGUUUAAUUUGUUUUUAUUGUGCUAGUUGCUGUCAUUUUGCAGUUUGUACAAGUAUUUGUAGCUAAGUCAUGUCAAUUCAUCUAUAUGGUGCAUAAUGGUUUUUUAGUGUACACUUUCCACCCCUCUUUCCUCCUUUUGGAUAGAAGUUGCUCAAAAUGUUCAAUCUCGUGAAUUAAUUGUUUCCCUGUUUUCAUAGGCAGGAAGCGUGGAUGUUCAAUUAUAUAUACGUUUGUUUAGGAGCUAUUUUUGAUACCCUGAAAUCAUUUGAUUCAUAGACCUAUUAUCUUUUAUGUUAUGAGUUGGUCUAAAUGUAUAUUUUGUUGUCUCCAUUAGACUGAGGAUCCACUAUCUUUUCAUUGUAGAUAAUAUAUGGGUCCUCGAAAAUGUUCUGCUCAGUUUUCGUGAUAAUUUAUGUUCCAGACUUAUGAUGGAAUGAUUAUUGGAGAACAUUCUAGGGAAUCAGAUCUAGAUGUUAAUCUUGUAAGAACUAAAGAAAACUUACCAAUAUCCGUUCUGCUUGCAAAGAUGAAAACAUGAAGCUAUCUCCACCUCGACUUAGAUGAGUCUUGAAGAAGCGAUAUGAUACGUUGCAUCUGAUGAACUUAUUAAGGAAGAUGGAUCUCUUGCUAGUUUCUUAUUCCUCAGAUCCCAACCUAAAAAUAAUCCAAAGGCCUCCCUUUUUACUAGCCAGCAAGAUUCCAAUAGCAUUGGAUAUGGCUGUUGAAUUUCGAUCCAAAGAUUCUGACCUAUGGAAGCACAUUUAUGCAGAUGAGUACAUGAAAUGUGAAGUGAUAGAGUGUUGUGAAUCUUUAAAAAAUGUCCUGAAUGUUCUGUUUGUUGGAGAAAAUGAGAAAAUGUUCCAAACUACAUUCCUACUUAUUGAACCAAACAUCAUCAAAUAAUAAUAGUUCUUUCGUUUUUGUCAGUUGCAGUUUUUUUUUUUUUUGUCGACUUUGACACUUGAACAAGUUUUUUUUUAUUUAUGAGGAUAUAUUAAGAAUCUUGCUUUUAAGGCU